rnacentral:rRNA from 1 species
GACGAACGCUGGCGGCGUGCCUAAUACAUGCAAGUAGAACGCUGAAGGAGGAGCUUGCUUCUCUGGAUGAGUUGCGAACGGGUGAGUAACGCGUAGGUAACCUGCCUGGUAGCGGGGGAUAACUAUUGGAAACGAUAGCUAAUACCGCAUAAGAGUAGAUGUUGCAUGACAUUUGCUUAAAAGGUGCAAUUGCAUCACUACCAGAUGGACCUGCGUUGUAUUAGCUAGUUGGUGGUGUAACGGCUUAACAAGGCGACGAUACAUAGCCGACCUGAGAGGGUGAUCGGCCACACUGGGACUGAGACACGGCCCAGACCCCUAAGGGAGGCAGCAGUAGGGAAUCUUCGGCAAUGGACGGAAGUCUGAACGAGCAACGCCGCGUGAGUGAAGAAGGUUUUCGGAUCGUAAAGCUCUGUUGUAAGAGAAGAACGAGUGUGAGAGUGGAAAGUUCACACUGUGACGGUAUCUUACCAGAAAGGGACGGCUAACUACGUG